UCAGCUAAGCAAAAGUGGGGUUGUGAUGGUGGUGCAAAUGAGGAUGUGUUCAACCCUCAGUUCCGAAGCUUUUUUACUCAGUUUUGUUGUAUUUAAAAGAGUGCUUUGUAGCCUUGUCUCAAGUUUAACCACCAGGAUCGGAUCCAUUCAUUUCUUCCUUUGGACAACACAUCUCAGUUGGUCUCCGCUGUUUCUUCAUGGCCUUUCUCAGCUGGAGAUCUGUUGGCUGAUUGGAUUGUCUGACUGACCGACUGACCGACUGACUACAACUUACUUGCAUACGAUGGAUACCGUUCCCCUACCCGCGGUGUUGGUUGAGGCUGCAUUGGGAGGAGGAUGCAUCAACAACCUGGAAAUAUAAGCAAUCCGUUACAAUGCAAGAAGACAGAUUAAGGCCUUCAAUCAGACUGAGGACAGAGAAAUAUGGUGCACCUGGUCAAGUGCAUGCAUUCAACAAGCUUUGGACGAAGGACUUCCACACUUCCGCUAUCUCCAAAGUUCACUCAAAAAGGCAAUAGUUCUGAACUUAGUUUGAUUCAGUUUUUGUUAUCUAAAAUAUUUUUUUUUUAUAAUUAUCUUUUAAAAUUCCAUUGGUUAAAAGCUAUUGCUCAGUCAUCACUUGGCUCAUGUAAAUUCUGUAGUUGCUCCAUUAAACAUCCUAAGGUCAACAUCCCCAAUGUGUUCACAUUUCUCUCAUGUAAAUGUUAUUUGGGAAAUAUUCAGUCUUUACUUUUUCUUUCAUUAGCAUGCUGAUGAUUUCAAGUUGUAUUGAUUUAUUUUUACCUGUUUAGACAUCGAACACAUGUUGUUUAGUAUAUUUAGUAUGUUUAGUUCUGUUUUCUCUGUGAGAAGCAAGUUCAUUUAAAGUUAUAUGUGAUUUGGUUUACGUAGAUACAACAUGUCAAUGGCAAUACAAAAUUCAAAAGGCA